rnacentral:rRNA from 1 species
GGAUGGACCUGCGGUGCAUUAGCUAGUUGGUGGGGUAACGGCCCACCAAGACGAUGAUGCAUAGCCGGCCUGAGAGGGCGGACGGCCACAUUGGGACUGAGACACGGCCUAGACUCCUGCGGGAGGCAGCAGUAGGGAAUUUUCGUCAAUGGGCGCAAGCCUGAACGAGCGAUGCCGCGUGAGUGAAGAAGGCCUUCGGGUCGUAAAGCUCUGUUGCGGGGGAAAAAAGGCAGCAUCAGGAAAUGGGUGCUGACUGAUGGUGCCCCGCCAGAAAGUCACGGCUAACUACGUGCCAGCAGCCGCGGUAAUACGUAGGUGGCGAGCGUUAUCCGGAAUGAUUGGGCGUAAAGGGUGCGCAGGCGGUCCUGCAAGUCUGGAGUGAAACGCAUGAGCUCAACUCAUGCAUGGCUUUGGAAACUGGAGGACUGGAGAGCAGGAGAGGGCGGUGGAACUCCAUGUGUAGCGGUAAAAUGCGUAGAUAUAUGGAAGAACACCAGUGGCGAAGGCGGCCGCCUGGCCUGUUGCUGACGCUGAGGCACGAAAGCGUGGGGAGCAAAUAGGAUUAGAUACCCUAGUAGUCCACGCCGUAAACGA